AUCCGGAUGACGAGUCUUAAAUAGGCCGAAAUACGCAUCCUGGAU
rnacentral:hammerhead_ribozyme from 1 species